GGGGUUAAGCCGGUUCUGGGGGCCCCGGGAGCAGCAGCCGCCGCCGCCGCCGCCGCCGCCGCAGCAGCAGCAACUCCACCAGCAGCGGUGCUGGCAGGCCUGGCCCCGGGCCAGCUGGCCAGGAGCCCCAGGAGGCAGUGAGGGCGGAGGAAGGGGAGGAAGAGGGGAAGGAGGAGGAGGAGGAGGAGGAGGAGAGGAGCAGUCAGCAGGCCCGAGGAGGCAGGACUUCCUGGUGUGGGGGUUGUCAACAGCCCAGAAAGAGAAAGGCAGAGAGACAGAACCGAGAGGAGCUGAGAAGCGAAGAGAGACCCAGCCGUGCCACGCGGAGGAGUUUUGGGAGACCCACUCGCCCCAACCACCCAGGCGGCUCCACCUGGAGGAUCGGGGGCGGGGGGCGGGGGGGGGGGCAGAGCCGCCUCUUCCCGCACCGGUCUGGAGACCCUUGGGGCUUCAGAGGCCGCGCCUGGGUUCCACCAAGGAGGCGGGGGAUCCUUCUUUUCCGGAGAGCAAACUUUUUACUGAGAUGCCUUGUGGGGCAAAGUGCGGUCCCCGAAGAGAACUGGACAGCCUCUGAUUCCCGCCUGCGCCCCCCGCGCUGCUGGGGCCAAGAGGCCCCAGGGGAAGGACAACCCGACAUCUUAGGCGGCCGGGACCCCCGGCCCAGCUCGGUGGCCGAGGCCGAGAGUUUGCAAACUCAGCUCUGGAGUUGGGCAGCGCCAGCGGCAGGAAAAACCUGCCCCUGCCCCCACCUCCUGCCGCCUCCCCUGCCCUGUGCUCCCUUCACCAACCCAGCACCCCCAGUUCCUGCAGGGCCCUCCGGCCAUGUCGGACCCAGAUGUCCCCAGGGGCCCUGAUGCCCCCGCCAUGUGGCCCCCCUGUUCCAGGGGUGCCUGAGCCCCUUCGAGGAGCCCCAGCUGCACCCCCGCCCACCUUGGCCGAGUCCUAGCCCCAGAGACCAUGAGUGGGGGCAAGAAGAAGAGUAGUUUCCAAAUCACCAGCGUCACCACGGACUAUGAGGGCCCAGGGAGCCCAGGGGGUUCUGAGCCCCCUGCCUUGCCCACCCCCACUGGGCCCCCACCCCGCCUGCCUAAUGGGGAGCCCAACCCCGAGCAGGGGGGCAAGAGCACCCCCCGGAAUGGCUCCCCACCGCCUGGGGCCCCUGCCUCCCGUUUCCGGGUGGUAAAGCUGCCCCACGGCCUGGGAGAGCCUUACCGCCGAGGCCGUUGGACGUGUGUGGAUGUUUACGAGAGAGACCUGGAGCCCCCAGGCUUUGGCCGGCUCCUGGAGGGAAUUCGAGGGGCCUCAGGAGGCACUGGGGGCAGAUCUCUGGAUUCCAGGUUGGAGCUGGCCAGCUUGGGCCUGGGUGCCCCAACUCCACAGCCAGGCCUGUCUCAGGGCCCCACCUCCUGGCUCCGUCCGCCCCCCACCUCCCCUGGACCUCAGGCCCGCUCCUUAACCGGGGGGCUGGGCCAGCUGGCAAUGCCUGGCAAGGCCAAGGUGGAGACACCCCCACUGUCAGCCUCCCCACCCCAGCAGCGCCCCCCAGAGCCCCGGACUGGGGAUAGCGCGGGCCCAUCCCGGGCUGCCACGCCCCUGCCAUCCCUGAGGGUGGAAGCGGAGGCUGGGGGCUCAGCAACAGGGACCCCUCCCCUGUCCCGGUCAAAGGAUGGAGCCCUGCGGCUGAGGAUGGAGUUGGUCGCUCCAGAGGAGAUGGGGCAGGUGCCCCCCCUCGACUCUCGCCCCGGCUCCCCAGCCCUUUACUUGUUCCCCGAUGCCAGUCUGGUUCACAAGUCUCCAGACCCCUUUGGAGCAGCAGCAGCCCAGAGCCUCAGCCUGGCCCGCUCCAUGCUGGCCAUCAGUGGCCACCUGGACAGCGAUGAUGAUAGCGGCUCCGGAAGCCUGGUUGGCAUUGACAACAAGAUCGAACAAGCCAUGGUUUUCUUCUGGAAACAAAAAGCUAAGUCAACCUUCUUGGAACACCAUGAUUCCCAGAAAAGUGUAUUGAAGGUGGAGAAGACUCCCAAGGUGGUUGAGACUUUCAAGUUGGUUGAGCCCUGCAAAGAGGCUAAGAUUUCCAAGAUGGUGGAGUCCCCCGAGGUGGCUGAUGCCUGCGAGUUGGCCAAAGCAACAGAUAGGGCUAAGGUGGAGCCGGGUCAUAGGGCCCGAUCCCUGCUGCAGCUGCCCCGGACAGCUGUCAAGUCUGUCUCCAUGCUCAUGGUCUCGGCCCUGCAGAGCGGCUGGCAAAUGUGCAGCUGGAAGUCAUCUGUGAGUUCUACCUCCAUUUCCUCCCAAAUGAGGUCUGGGUCCCCAGUGGAUACGUCGGAAGCUGAGAUGCUGCGGGAAGUGUACCUGAUACUGUGGGUCAUUCGGAGACAACUGCGACAGCUGGCCCGCAGGCAGGAGAGGCGGAGGCGGCGCCACAUCCGGGCCCACACUGGCUCCCAGCCUGACACGGCUCAGGGCCUGAAACAGGAUGCCCGGAGUCCCCUUUAGGGGGGAACCCCACAUCCUCAAAAAGCCCCACCUCAGUCUUAGGUAAGGUUGAUAGGAGAGGUUAGGACAGCAGGCCAGGAGUUGUGUGUGAGAAGUUUUCAUACUGUCACCUCUCUCAUCGGGAGCCUAAGCCCAGGUGUGGGGUCCCACUUAUUCCCCUUCAUUCCAUUUAUUCAAUUUGUAAAAAAAAAAAAAAAAAAAAAAAAAUUAUCAAAAGUUGGGAAAUAAAUAUCAGAUAUUUCUGAGUAAAUAAAUGGAGAGUGUGUUUGUGGAUAGCCAGAAGCAAUGAGGGGAACUCGGAGGGGGGCACCUCAGGUCCCGCCCCAAAUAUGCGUGGCAGAAAUUUGUGGGCUUGGGGGAGGGGGCUUUGGGGGGAUCGACACAUCCAGGCCCUAGGCCCAAACCCACCUCCAGGGGCUGAAUUGCCUUUGGCGACCCUGCCAGGCCGGGAGUGCAGCAGCACCCUUUACAGAGACACGCCACCUCGCAUCAGGUCCUGAGCCCAUGCUCUCCGGGGCAAUCUUACAAGAUGGGUGUUUUGCAGAGGUUAAGUGGCUUGUGUAAAGCCGGAGGGCAAAGAUCUGCUGGAAACUGCCGGCUCCAGCGGCCAGCGCACUGACGAGCCCCUCUGGCGCUCGAGGGCUCCGCCGCAGCGAGGUUGGUGGGUCCGAAGACUCCUACCCGGGAGCCGGACAAGCGAAGGUGGGGAAGGCACGCAGGCCCAGCUGGCCGCGCCCCUGCCGAGAGCGGCGCAAAACUACACCUCCCAGGGUUCCCAGCGGCGCCACGGGCGGGGGCGGGGGCGCGGGGACGCAGGGGAGACCUGGGGUGGUGCCGCGGCUGGGCAAAGGCGCCCCAGGGCCGAGAGUCCUGCUUCCCGAAGCGGCAAGACUGAGGUUAACUGAAGGAGAAGAUUGUACAUCCCAGGGCUGAAAAUGCUGUCUGCCCCUUGCUGGAGCUGCCUAUCUGUCCCGUGGGGUCAUUCUGGGGUGCUGGGAAUGGCCUAAGGGCUUCACGGAGUGCCGGGGUUGACUUCUAGAGACAAGCAAAACCCUCAGGGGGCAGAUAAUUAGCAGUGCACAAGAGAUACAGCCAACUCAGAAAAACCCAUCCUUCCUGGCUGUGUGACCUUGAACAACAGGUGCAUCUGCCAUCCUACACCGAAUUUGGCUUUCUACAGGACCAUGGAGGUCUUCAUAGAGCCUGGCCCAAGGGAUCUACUCUCUUCUGAUGGAUAGUGCUCUGUGACAUGACCUGAUGCUGCUCCUCAGUGCGACCUGUACCUGUUAACAAGUACGUGCUUACAUGUGUGUGUGUUGGGGGUCAUCUCAUCGGCCAAAGCAUAACUACCCCUUGCAGGUGAGAGUGUCUUGUAAGCAAGAUGAGAUUUUCCUGGUGGGAUUUCUGGGGAGUACAGGACAAGUGGAUGAGCCCUAUGAACCAGGCAUGUUGAUCCUCCAAGAAGAGGACUCCCCCCACCCUCCCAGAACCACACUGGGCACCCUGCAGAUUUGAGGGUGGGCAGAGAAGAUCUGGAGAGGAUGGAUAUGGUCUCAGGAACAUCCAGCUCACUGCAUGGAUGCCUCCAGCGCCAAGUGGGGCAGAGAUGAUGCUGGGAGUGGAGUGAUAGAAGCUGGCCUAGGAUCUAGAGAAGAGGAAGAGAAGGAUAUGGAGGACCAGUCUCUUGGAAAUGGAGGAGGGGGGAGAUAUCUAGGCUGCAUUGGGUAAGGGGGAACACCCUGAGCUGAGACCACUGGCCUGAAGGUAGAGAAGGAAGAGGAGAUUUUGAUCAGAUUGGGGAACCCUGGUCUUGGUGCCCAAUGUCCCAGCUUAGCUUCGGGCCAUGGUGGGGCUCUCUUGGAAUGAUGGCUUCCCAUUCCAGGGCUUCUCCUGUUCCUCCAUUUGACCUGUGCCCUGUGUUACCUCAGUUCCUUGCUCGCUGGAUGACUCCCAAAGCACGGAGCUUGCUCCUGGCAGGAGAUCUGACCUGCUCCACCGCUCCAGCUCUCACUGCACCCACUUUAUGCUUCUAGGGUUUUCUCUUUUGCCAAGAAGCGGUUGAUCUCCAGCAUCCAUCCUCAGACCUGCCACUUUUAAGUUGCAUCAGGAUACUCGCUGCUUCCUGCGGUGCCUGUGCCUCCAGUACACCACCUGUCUGUCUCCCGCGUCCCACUCUUCCUCCUCCUGUCUUUAUCUGUUUCCCUUGGUAACUCUCUGGAGCCGGGGGAAGCCUUCUCAGGACAAGAUGGUCCUUCAUGACCAGAUCCUUCUCACCAAGGGGCCUCCAAUCUCAGCCCUCCAAGGGAUGGGGAUGCUGCCAAGGCUGAUAGCAGACUGCCCAAUGUGGGGCCGAACUCAUGAACCGGGAGAUCACAACCUGAGAUGAAGUUGGUCAUUUAACCAACCGAGCCCCCCAGGCACCUCCGUAAUUUAACUAUUUACCUGGUGAAGGACAUUUGGGUUGUUUCAAGUUCUUGGCUAUUAUGAAUAAAGCUGCUAUAACCAUG